GCCUCGCGGCGGCCGCUCCGCGCUGAGGGCGGGCGGGAGCUGCGUGCACCGCGCAGGUACCGCGCAGGGCCGCACGCCGUCUCGACCCGCGCCAGGGGACAUUCAGGUUGGACAUUGUAAGGAAUUUCUUCGCAGAAAGAGCGAUUAGACAUUGGAAUGGGCUGCCCACUAGUGUCUGCGGUGGUGGAGUCUCCGUCCCUGGAGGCGUUUAAGGAAAGACCACUCAGUGCCAUGGUCUAGUUGACACAGGCUGGACUCGAUGGCUUCGCAGUCUUUUCCUACUUGUUCGGUUCUGUGAUUCUGAGCACUGACCUCCGCCCCGAUGUGCGGGCUUGCUGUCUGCUGAGUGUCCAUCUGCAAGCAUAAGGGGAUAUGGAGCAUGAGCCAUUCUCCAAAUACAAAUUUGUGAGAUUCCAGAAAGGGACAAGUUACACUGAUUGUGUCAUUGAGAAGGCUGGGCACAACACCUCUUCAUAUAAGAACUACAUCUGCUUUGAGAUGGGAAAUUUGAAGAAGAAAGUGUAAGAGUAACACCGGAGUAGUGUCACCUCUGCAUAGCCAGUCUCUGGCUUUAUUUGACAACCACAUAAUAUAUUUCCUUCUAUAAAUUAAGCAAAUCAGUUUAUAAGCUCUGUCAUAUUAUUUGCCCUUGUAACUCCCAUUGCAAAGUUUUUUCAGGAACUCAGUAGUUUAUUCUACUGUCAGUAAAAAUCAACUUGGGUAUCUUGACACCUACUGUGUGCUUUCAUUUGAAGAGCACGCUUCCUCCUUUCAUCUGCUUCUUUAACUCAAAAUUUACUUUAAAGUCCCGUUCCCACUGCUGGCCCUGCGCUGGGAACUACCCUUACAGGGCACCUGGCAUUGUUGCUGUUUCCAGUAUUUUAAGUCAUCUGUGUGUUGUUUUUUUCAGUUCUUGCCAGUCCUAAAGUAAUCAGUACAAGUCAUUUGCUGUAAGUACAACAAUUUAACUACAGUGAAGUGCAUUUGCCAUUAUUUUUGCUCUGUGUGUUUUAAAGGUUUUCUUUAACUAUUCCGUUCAUACAUUUCUGCAUUAUUCUGAAUUAGCCACUCAGCAUGCUGGAUUGGAUUGACAGCCCAGAAUUCAGUGUUCACUUGUGCUGCCUGGCAUUACAAGAUUUUUUUCUUUUCCAUUGGCAAUGUUCAUGGAUCCUUAGCAGAAAGAAUGGAGAUCAAGUUAACAAAGCUGUACACUUCCUUUGCUGGCAUUAAAUAAAUGCUGUACAUUUGGAGACAUUUCAGCUGUUCAGUCCACUUUAAGUCAUUUUCAAACCACUGUCAGACAGCCAGAGGAAUCUACUGAGCUCUCCUACACUUAAGAAGAAAAUGCUGCUUUUGCAUUUAGAAUAACUUUUACUAAUUUUGCUUUCUAAGUACAGCUAAAAAUCAGAUGUAAAAUGUAAUUGAAAACCAGGCCAUUAUUUUCUAGUGCUACCUGACAUAAAUCACAACCUGUGACCAGCCAAGUGACUGGCUCCAUCCCAUGAGACAGGUAAGUCCUAAGCAUAAAGUCCAAUGCAUGCCUCAUGCAAUUCAGAUUGGCUUUAAGAUUUUCCACUAUGAAUUCUUCCUUCACAAAUCUCUCUAGCUUUCAGAACUUCGUCAGGUUCUCAGAGAGUAGUAAAGUUCUUUCCCUCAUGAUUUUAAGUGCUAUGGAAAAGCAGAAACUGAGGUUUCAGAAGAUAAAUAGCCAGGAAUAUAUGAAUUCAUCAGGAUCUCAGUGGCCCAAUUAAACCGUUUUCUUUAUGAAGACUCAGCUCUUGAAAAACUGAAUAUACUAAUAAAACUGUGAGUCAUCAUUCCUUUUUUAUUGAUUCUUGUUAUCUUUCUGUAUCUGAGGCAACAAUAAACAUGAUUUAUAUA